AACGAACGCUGGCGGCAGGCCUAACACAUGCAAGUCGAGCGCUCGUAGCAAUACGGGAGUGGCAGACGGGUGAGUAACACGUGGGAACCUUCCCUAUGGUUCGGAAUAGCUCAGGGAAACUUGGGGUAAUGCCGGAUAAGCCCUUCGGGGAAAGGAUUAUCGCCAUUGGAUGGGCCCGCGUCGGAUUAGCUAGUUGGUGAGGUAACGGCUCACCAAGGCAACGAUCCGUAGCUGGUCUGAGAGGAUGAUCAGCCACACUGGGACUGAGACACGGCCCAGACUCCUACGGGAGGCAGCAGUGGGGAAUAUUGGACAAUGGGCGCAAGCCUGAUCCAGCCAUGCCGCGUGAGUGACGAAGGUCUUCGGAUUGUAAAACCCUUUUGGCGGGGACGAUAAUGACGGUACCCGCAGAAUCAGCCCCGGCUAACUUCGU
rnacentral:rRNA from 1 species